rnacentral:sRNA from 1 species
GCGAGGCAUGGUGGCACAUGCCUGUAAUUCUAGCUACUGGGGAGGCUGAGGCAGGAGGAUCAAAGUUACUGAGGUCAGCCUCAGUAACUUAGCAAGACCCUGUCUCAA